rnacentral:lncRNA from 1 species
AAUCCUUCACAUUCAUCGUCACACCGCCGCAUGCGAGUUCGACCACCAUCACGUAGCUCUCGCACGAGGUUCCCAAGACUUCGUCGCACAUCAUCGUGUCGUCCGCUCACCCACAUCAUUGUGGCAUCGUCAUUGAGCAGUCACCGCCAUCGCACACCCCUCCGUGCCCACACUAGCUAGUUAGUGCUCUUACAUCUUAUACAAAGUGACCACAUUGUAUGUGUGUUGCCAUAUGUUUGUGAUCGUGAGAGAGGCGAGGUGCGUGAGGGAGCGAGUAACUGAGCUGAAUAAAGCUUG